AUGUUCCCCCCUUGUGCAAUGUUCCCCUGCAAACCGCACAGGAACCGAGUCACCCUGACACGGCUCCCCCGGCUCAGCUGCUGCCGGCGAUACCACGAGCGCCUUUCCUGGGCAGUGCGCCGCUGCCGCCAGCCCCCGCCACCGGAGCGGAGCAGGGCAGGCUGCAACAGCACGGCCCCACCGCCUCCGUGCACGGACAGGACCGGGGGCGCCUCUGGGGGCUCCUGCCACGGGGUGCAGGAGCAUUUUGGGGCAAGUUAUCCCUGCCUGCCCCACAGGGGCCCAUCUGCCCUGCUAACGCCUCUCAGAGACGUUUCCUGUGAUCGCUCCUGCAGGAGGGCUUUCCGCCCAGCACCUCCCUCUGGGGAGCCUUCUCACGCGGUGCCUUCAGCCGUGCGCUGGCCCUGCGUUGGGAGGACGGCCCCGGCCUCGCCAGGCCUGCUGUCCUGCCCRCGCCGGCUGGCGGAGGCCAAGGGCAGCCCGUCAGGGACAAAACAGGUCUGUUUCCCGGCUCCCGCAGCGGGUCCUGCCGGGCGCCGGGCUGCAGAGAGCUGGCGUGCCRCUGCUGCCCGCGCCGCGUGCGCCGGCCCCUGGGCCCCGGCAGCGGCAGCACGUGCCUGGCACGGAGAAGGGUUUGCCAAACAGGAUGUCGGGGGCGUAGGUAGCACUGAGGUUAUCUUGCUGCUGGUGUGGCACGGAGUAAACAAGCGGCUCUGCCCACCCGGGGAAUCCCGGCAGCGCGCCUCUGCCCGUCCCCGCGAGCAGCCGUGGGGCCAGGCCGCGCUGAACCCCCUGCAAACCCGUCCCUCCCCAUCCUGGGGGCCUGGCGUCCUGGCACCGCGUGCCCUGCGGCUCUCCCGUAGCCCCGCGCGGUGCCCAGAGCUGUCACACCGGUUCUGCACGGGGGCAGCGGCGGCAGGAGGUGGAGAAGAGCACAGGUCUCGGUGCCCGGCGCAGCAGGCUGCCGGCUCCCCGGACCUCACCACUGCUUUCGUCACCUAUCUGGACAACUCAGCUUAA
rnacentral:lncRNA from 1 species